UACGUAGGAUCCAAGCGUUGUCCGGAUUUACUGGGUGUAAAGGGUGCGCAGGCGGACUUGUAAGUUAGGGGUGAAAUCUCUCGGCUCAACCGGGAAACUGCCUUUAAGACUGCAGGUCUUGAAUCCGCGAGAGAGUUGUGGAAUUCCGAGUGUAGCAGUGAAAUGUGUAGAUAUUCGGAAGAACACCAGAGGCGAAGGCGGCCAUCUGGACCAGCACUGACACUGAGGCACGAAAGCGUGGGGAGCAAACAGG
rnacentral:rRNA from 1 species